AUAUUUUGUUCCCAAUUCACGAUUAACUUCUACAUUUUUGUGCAACACUUUUAAUGUGAGAACAUCCUGCAAUUUAUAGAGUUAGUAGAUGAAGAAAUAACUAGAGUUCUGAUGCAACUCUUCCUUGGUGGAAGAGUUCUAGUUGACUUCAAUCCCUAACUCUUUCCCUAUCUUGGAUAUUAUUCUCUUUGAUUAAGGACUCUUUCUUCUUAUCAAUUAUGCAACCUUUACGAUCAAGAGAUAAUAAAAUACACCAUGUUAAUCUUAUCUCCUUCACAUGCAACCCACAUGCUCGAAUUUGCCCGUUUUUGUGCACCUGAGUGAUGGACCUGGUUCAUCCUUAGUUCCUUUUACAGGAAAUGUGCAUACCUGUAAAAGAGAACAAACUUAGUUAUUUAUUAAGGUAGUAAUCACAGUGUGAUUGAGACUUAAUUGUUGAUUCUCCAUCGAAUUUGAGUCCUACGCCAAUACAAACUACAAACCUUAUCCUUGAUCAGGAUUGUGUUCUCUUCUCAUAAGGAGACUUAUUCUUCUUAUCCCAUAUGCAAACUUUUCGAUCAAUUUUAGAAGAUAUUGUUGCUUGAUCCCUAAGAUUUAUCUUCUUCAUGUACAUCUCAUAUGCAUAGGUUGAUAACCACUGUAUCUCAUAAGAUGGACCUGGUCCAUCACAGAGUUGAUUUAUCAUUCUUCAAAACUUCAGCUGAACUUGGGCCAAUAAAUUCUCCCUUUUUGAUGAUGACAAACUCUGUUCUUUUACUGAUUAGAGAACCUGUUUAAACUAAACUCAACAUCAACACAAUGUUAGAAUUAUUUUUCCUUUUUAUUACUUAUCAUCAAGAACCAAGUACAUUAUGUUAUAAAUAUCGUAAACAUCACUUGUAUAAAGUACAACCCUUUUUCACCCUUUUGGCAUCAUCGAAAAGUUGCACAAAAAAUGUGAGAUAACCAGAAUUCAAAACUUACUCAUGGCCACUGGGGCUACUUCAAAUGCAAUCAUGGAUUAAUAAUGAUAGAUCAAGCUAAGAAUUUUAACCAUCAAGGAAAUAUGAACAAAUAGUUAGAGAUAAACAGUGAAUUUCAUUGAUGAUUGAUAAGAUUCUACCACAAAGCAUAAGAAGAAACAAAAAACUGAAAAUAUGAGCAAAAGAAACAAAACGUCCUGAAUUGGGUCACUGGUUUAUCUACACCAGGUAAGGAGUCUUAAGGCUUAGAAGAGGUAGGGCUGAGUUAUUUGCUUGGAGAAGUUUCAGCAUGUCUUGAAAAAUUCCAUCAUUCUUCUCCUUUUCCCUUGAAAUUUCAAUUUCGAGAACAUCUCUCUUAGAUUCUACCUCAACCAAUCAUGUCUUCAGCCUUGGUAUCUCAAUAUCCUUUGCCUCACACUCAUGUACCAAGAAUUUGACUUUGCUAUUGAUAGGUGUCUUCAUAGAUGAACCAGGUUCAUUAAGCAUGACAUUAACUUCAUAAUCACAAGCAAGCAGAGUAUUAACCCAAAAAUGAUACUUUCUUUUACUAACCUCCCACUUCUUCAUAGGUACCUUGAAAUGUACAAGAACAGUAAUAGGAAUGAAACCAUAAGGACUGGCAUGAGUUUUUGUGCUAUUGAUAACCCUAUCAGUAGGUUCGGGAGGGUUUCCUCUUCAGAUGGAACGUGUUCAUCUAUAUUUUUUCAAGUUGAACCAGACCCACUUCCCAUAUUUUACUCACACUCUAUUCUAUUUCAUUAAAUUCCUCUUCCCAAACAACUAUUGCCUCAGUUUCUUUUGUUAGACUAACAUGAGUGGGUGAAGAAUCAACCGCUCUUGUACCCUUUCCCCUCACAAUACUCCUAGUAUCGUUGAUCUCUUCUUAUUUUCCUUUUUAUUCUUACCACCUACUUCUCUAGAUUCUGUAGUCGCAACACCUACUAUAGAUCCUACCAGUACAAAUCCAUUCUCUAAAUUUGUAGCAACUUCAGAAAUUGUCUUAAGAGUAACAUUAGAAUCAGAACAUGUGUUUAGUUUCGGAAUACCUACUUUCUUCCCCCUUAGUAGCAGACUCACAUGAAUCUUCAGAUUUCUCAAAUUCUUCUUCCCUAUUUGCUUUCAAUUGCUUGUUUAUUUUCUUGGUAUGCUCUCCUUCAGCGACAAUCUUAUGAGCCAUCAUCUUUACUCUACUUUUCUUAGAUAUUGGUGUUGUAGAAGGUGCGGAAGUGGUUUCCUAUGGUAGUGAUGAAGGAAUUCCAAAAGUGUUUGACACAUCUGGGCUAGGCUAUGGAAGAGAAGAAAAUUGGAUUGUGUUUGGAAGAUGAAAGACGAAUGAGAGUUUUUGACGGCUUGAGAGAGAUGAGGUAAGGAAUACACUAAAGAUGACCAAUAUACAAGGAAAUACUAGAUGGGAUAACUAUAGCUUUUCAGACACUUAUAAGAUUAAUCAAACUAAAAUUCAGCGUUGGAGUGUAUCCGUAGAAUCUAAGUACUUCCAUUCGAUUAGGACUCUUUUGAAUGGGACUAUUCAUUUGUAACGGAUAAGUUUAAAAAGAGUUUGGUAUUUGGUAGGACUCUGCUCAUGAUACAAAUAUAGUCAAAUUAUGCAGAGUGUAGAAAACAUAGCGUGUUAUCUUAACAAACCAGGUUCUUCACUGAUAAUUCUCUCGUGUAAGUCUAAAUUUUCCAAAAUAGAUAAAAUAUUAUUAGAGAUUAAUGAGUCAUUUUAACACAUGGCACAAGAGUAUACUAUGGGAAGUAUGAGAUUGAACAAGAUUUAAUCUAACUAUACACAAUUUACAAACUUUCUAACCAAAUAUAUAUAUUUUUUUUAUUUUUUUGUUUAACCUUGAACUAGUCCUUUUGAUCUUAAUCAUCCCUAAUUCCGACCUGUUCCUCUCAAAGUGAUCUCUAAUUAAGCCUUUUGUGAAGAUAUCAGCAAUUUGCUUGUCAAUAGUAGAAAACUCCACAGUGAUCAAGCCUUUCUCAUAGUUGUCCUUCAAAAAAUGGUGUCUAACAUCCAUGUGCUUAGUUCUCUUAUGAUGAACCGGGUUAUUCACUGAAAUUCCUUUCUCAUAGUUGUCCCUAAAAAAAUGGUGUCUAACAUCUAUGUGCUUAGUUCUCUUAUGAUGAACCGCAUUUUUAGUCAUACUAAUAGUACUAGUGUUAUCACAAAAUUAGGGAUGCAACCGACUUCAAUAUCAAAAUCCAUCAACUGUUGCUUGAUCCACAAUAGUUGAGCACAAUCAUGAAGCAGCAACAACAUACUCAGCUUCAGCAUAUCCCAUUAGGUUAAAGUUACUAACUUUUGGAUAUUAAAGGUAAAGAUCAGUGGUGCCUUUCAAGUAUGUAAAUAUUCUCUCUCCAUUAGUCAAAUGAGACUCCUUUGGAUUUGCCUGAAAUUUAACACAAAGACCUACACUACAUAUAAUGUCAGGUUUGCUAGUAGUGAGAUAUAAAAGAGAAGUAAUCAUUCCCCUAUACAACUUUUGAUCAACAGAUGAACCAGGUUCAUCUAUAUCCAAUUUCGUGGAUGUUUCAAUAAGAGUGUCAAUUUCUUUGGAUGUUCCUUCCUGGUUUUGUUACUGAGGAAUAGGUUUAUGGACAGGUUCCCUCGAGGUUUGAGUAUCAGUAAUUCUCUAGUCAGUUCUCCCUGUCAUGUUGCCAUGGGUGAAAGAACUUAUUCCAUGACUUGUUCCUUCUUCUGGUGCAGCUUCAUCUUGGGAUGUGACUUCAUUUAAACCUUUUACCAGCCUAAUAGCUUCAUUUUCAUGUUCCUAUCUCUCAGAAAGAAUGUUACUUUACUUACACAAUAUUACUAUUACUUAUCUUGAUGAAUCAAUGACGAUAAAAUGCAAUGAGAUAGUGUAGCAAACGGACAUAGAAUCAGAGGAAGACGGCAUACCGGAGGAGAUUGUUAAGGUAGUUGAGAAUUUUGAAAACAGAGAGAAGUCCAACCUGGACGAGACGGAGGACUUGGGAGGUGUAGAAAAUGUCAAAGAAACACGAAUCAACAUCCACUUAUUGCCAAUACACAGAUUAUCUAAGAGAAUAUAAGGACAUAUUCGGCUGGUCGUAUGACGACAUGACGGGACUGAGUAUGUCUAUUGUGGCUCACAAACGGCCAACUGCUCCGACAUGUUCGCAAGUAAAGCAGAAGCUCAGGAAGUUGAAACCUUAUAUUAGUUUUAAAAUCAAGAAAGAAGUCACCAAGCAGAUCAAUGCCAAGGUCCUUAGGGUUGUAGAAUACCCAACAUAGUUUUCAAACCUCCUUUUUACUUACACUCCAUGAGAGGAGAUAAGGAAGUUUUUCUAAUUUAAGUUACAAUCGAAAUAGGAUUAUUUUUUUAUAAAAUUCAGAGUUGCCACUUGUGAUAAUUUAUAGUAUCCCAAGUUACCGGUUUAGAAUCCCGAAUCGAGAGAAAAGAUUGAUUGUAUUUUACAGUCCGUGAACACAGAAAUCCAGGUAAGGAAUUCUGUUAACUCGGGAGAAGGUGUUAGGCAUUCCCGAGUUCCGUGGUUCUAGCACGGUCGCUCAACUGUUAUAUUGGCUUAAUUAUCUAGUUUUAAAACACUUAUGAACCUAUGUGCAUUUUUAACUUUCUAACUGCUUUUAUUUUCCCAAAGAAUUAAUACAAGGUUAUUUAAAACCCAUCGCAAGCCACAUUACAUGAAAUGCACCCGUGGUUUACGACAUGUAUUAUUUAACCUUGUUGGAAACUAAAAUCGGAUUAUAUGAAAUGCACCCCGAAUUUAGAAAUUAAGCGUGACAACUACGUCAUGGGAACCGUACCUGUAGCUAUGACAAUUUAUUAACUGCACCUAAAAUGAGCUACGAUGUUCAAGAUUGUUUUUCGCCAAGUUUCAAAUUAUCGCGAGAUCACGAAUUAUGGAAUGGUUGUGACAAUGAAAAAAUAUAUUACUUAGUUAUUUACACUUCCUGCUAUGAAACAUUCUUCAUUAAUAAAAAAAAUGGAUUAGUUUCUAUCUUAACCAAGAUACCUAUGCACAAAAUUAUCCAAAUUUACUCUCGAAAUCAAUGUAAUGAACUAGGAAUACAACGAAUAAUAACAACAAAUAUGCAGGCUAAUAAUUGAGUUCCAACCCAUUAAAUAUCACUCUUAUAUAAGAUAUAAUCCAAAUUGUGGCUCUAGCAACAUUGACCCCCUUAAAUCUACUAAAUAAACAAUUCAUGUUAUCACUGGAAAGUUGAAAACAAUCGGAUUUUAGCUCAAAAUUAUUUAUGCUAAUUUCGUGCUAUAGCUAGAAAGGAAACUGUAAAUACGAUUGCAUUUGCAUCCUUGAACACCACCGAAUACAAAUUCAUGAAGGAAACACAUAAACUAAUAUCAUCGGAACAAACACAUGCCAGUGCUAUCAAGAGAUCACAAAUAAUUCAAACAGCAACUCAUUCAGGAACAGAAUAGUCAGCAACGACUUCAGCAAAACCCAUCUACGAAUUUAACUUUGAUUGAUUAAAUUUUAAGAAAAGACAAGAGUACCAUCUGACCUCAUAUCUGAAAUCCAAUAAGAACAUUGAAACAAUGUCGAGCAAAGAAUCACAACCAAGACUCAACCAUGGACCUCGAC
rnacentral:lncRNA from 1 species